rnacentral:misc_RNA from 1 species
GAUGAAGAACGCAGCGAAAUGCGAUAAGUAAUGUGAAUUGCAGAAUUCAGUGAAUCAUCGAAUCUUUGAACGCACAUUGCGCCCGCCAGUAUUCUGGCGGGCAUGCCUGUCUGAGCGUCAUUUCAACCCUCAUGCCCCUAGGGCGUGGUGUUGGGGAUCGGCCAAAGCCCGCGAGGGACGGCCGGCCCCUAAAUCUAGUGGCGGACCCGUCGUGGCCUCCUCUGCGAAGUACUGAUAUUCCGCAUCGGAGAGCGACGAGCCCCUGCCGUUAAACCCCCAACUUUCCAAGGUUGACCUCAGAUCAGGUAGGAAUACCCGCUGAACUUAAGCAUAUCAAUAAGCGGAGGA